UGGGGAAUUGUUCGCAAUGGGCGCAAGCCUGACGACGCAACGCCGCGUGGAGGAUGAAGAAUUUCGGUUCGUAAACUCCUGUCGAGCGGGACGAAAGAUGCGCGGGUUAAUACCUCGUGCAAGUGACGGUACCGGGUGAGGAAGCACCGGCUAACUCUGUGCCAGCAGCCGCGGUAAUACAGAGGGUGCGAGCGUUGUCCGGAAUCACUGGGCGUAAAGGGUGAGUAGGUGGCUGGGUAAGCGUGUGGUGAAAGUCCGGGGCUCAACCCCGGAUCUGUCGUGCGAACUGCCUAGCUCGAGCAAUGUAGAGGCAGGUGGAAUUUCGGGUGUAGCGGUGGAAUGCGUAGAUAUCCGAAAGAACACCAGUGGCGAAGGCGGCCUGCUGGGCAUUUGCUGACACUGAAUCACGACAGCGUGGGGAGCAAA
rnacentral:rRNA from 1 species